rnacentral:lncRNA from 10 species
GUGCAACAUGCUGAGCUGUAUGCACUUAGAAGUCAGCAAAUGUUGACCAGUAAUAUCUUAUUUGGGAUCCACCCAGGCCCCAUAACCCAGUGAUGGCAUUCCUCUGAAAUUAGGAAGAGAUUCAAGUUGCUCAAUGCUCCAUUUUAAACAGAAAUACACCAGCAAUAUACCAGCUGCAGGAAAGAGGAUGGGAAAGAGUCUCACAGCAGUCAAGAGCAGACAAUGAUCCAAGUGACAAGAAGACACAGGCCCAUUUGGGGUGUCUCCCAUUCAUUUCUGCUGAACUUUUUCCGAAGACCAUGCUGCUCAGAAUUGUGAAAGGGGACCAAUGACUAUUAUGAGAAACAAAAUAUUCUUCUUUACAAAAGCCUCCCAGAGGAAUAGGGAUGUUUACAGCACUUGGAGAAUGGCCAAGCUGGUGUAUCUUUCAGCACAAAGUGGAGACAUGUUCAAGUCCAGUUCACAGCCUAUGGUUUGUACAUAGGCAAAGCACACCAAAUGUCUCCCUAAAGGUGGUGUUACCCGAAUAGCCCUUUGAAGGCUUCUACCUGGGGAACAUGAUUGCCCAUUGACAAUCACCUCCAUUUGAGAGACUCAUCUGCCUCAAUGCAUUGUGCAACUUCAGGAAGCCUCAUUCGAGGGCCUGAGACAAACAUCUGGAGUGUUCAGCUGAGUCAAACCAACCCUCACUCUCCUCCAAAUGAGAUAAGAAAGGUGUCACAGUGCCAGGGAAGUAUAAUAACAUCAGAAGGGGUGAAACCUGUGCAGAGCUCUGAAGCAUUGGCAGAGCCUGGCCUGGUGGCCAGCAAGAGGCUAAUGGUGCCA